CCUACGGGAGGCAGCAGUCGAGAAUCAUUCACAAUGGGGGAAACCCUGAUGGUGCGACGCCGCGUGGGGGAGUGAAGGUCUUCGGAUUGUAAACCCCUGUCAUGUGGGAGCAAAUUAAAAAGAUAGUACCACAAGAGGAAGACACGGCUAACUCUGUGCCAGCAGCCGCGGUAAUACAGAGGUCUCAAGCGUUGUUCGGAAUCACUGGGCGUAAGGCGUUCGGAGGCUGUUUCGUAAGUCGUGUGUGAAAGGCGCGGGCUCAACCCGCGGACGGCACAUGAUACUGCGAGACUAGAGUAAUGGAGGGGGAACCGGAAUUCUCGGUGUAGCAGUGAAAUGCGUAGAUAUCGAGAGGAACACUCGUGGCGAAGGCGGGUUCCUGGACAUUAACUGACGCUGAGGCACGAAGGCCAGGGGAGCGAAAGGGAUUAGAUACCCCUGUAGUC
rnacentral:rRNA from 1 species